UAGGGAAUAUUGCGCAAUGGAGGAAGCUCUGACGCAGCAAUUCCGCGUGUAGGAUGAAGGUUUUAGGACUGUAAACUACUGUCAACAGGGAAGAACUAGACGGUACCUGUAAAGGAAGCACCGGCUAACUACGUGCCAGCAGCCGCGGUAAUACGUAGGGUGCGAGCGUUGUCCGGAAUUAUUGGGCGUAAAGCGUCCGUAGGCGGUUUUGUAAGUCUAAAGUAAAAGGCAUUCGCUCAACGAAUGUAAUGUUUUGGAAACUGUGAGACUAGAGUAUGGUAGAGGUUGCUGGAAUUCCAGGAGUAGCGGUGAAAUGCGUAGAUAUCUGGAGGAACACCGGUGGCGAAAGCGGGCAACUGGACCAUAACUGACGCUAAUGGACGAA
rnacentral:rRNA from 1 species